rnacentral:rRNA from 1 species
GACGAACGCUGGCGGCGUGCCUAAUACAUGCCAGUUGAGCGAUGAAGCUUGGUGCUUGCACCAAUUUGAAGAGCAGCGAACGGGUGAGUAACGCGUGGGGAAUCUGCCUUUGAGCGGGGGACAACAUUUGGAAACGAAUGCUAAUACCGCAUAAUAACUUUAAACAUAAGUUUUAAGUUUGAAAGAUGCAAUUGCAUCACUCAAAGAUGAUCCCGCGUUGUAUUAGCUAGUUGGUGAGGUAAAGGCUCACCAAGGCGAUGAUACAUAGCCGACCUGAGAGGGUGAUCGGCCACAUUGGGACUGAGACACGGCCCAAACUCCUACGGGAGGCAGCAGUAGGGAAUCUUCGGCAAUGGACGAAAGUCUGACCGAGCAACGCCGCGGGAGGGAAGAAGGGUUUCGGAUCGUAAAACUCUGUUGGUAGAGAAGAACGUUGGUGAGAGUGGAAAGCUCAUCAAGUGACGGUAACUACACAGAAAGGGACGGCUAACUACGUG